GAUGAACGCUAGCGGCAGGCCUAAUACAUGCAAGCCGAAGGCUGUUUGGUGUAGCAAUACGUCAAACAAACGGCGGAAGGGUGCGUAACGCGUAUGCAACCUACCCUAUACAGGAGGAUAGCCCUCGGAAACGAGGGUUAAUACUCCAUAAGGUUGCUUAGCGGCAUCUUUAAGCAAUUAAAGCCGCAAGGCGGUAUAGGAUGGGCGGGCGUCGGAUUAGCUAGUUGGUGAGGUAACGGCUCCCAAAGGCGAGGAUCGGUAGGGGUUGUGAGAGGAAGAGCCCCGAGAGGGGCACUGAGACACUUGCCCGACUCCUACGGGAGGCAGCAGUAAGGGAGACUGGAGAAUGGGUGAAUGCCUGAUCCAGCCAAGCCGCGUGCAGGAAGAAGGCGCGAGGGAUUGUAAACUUCGGUUGGGAGGGAGAAAUAAGGGGGAUGCGUCGCUCGAUGAUAGUACUUCUCGAAGAAGCAUCGGCUAACUUCGUG
rnacentral:rRNA from 1 species